rnacentral:lncRNA from 12 species
CGGCACAUCUGGUGAAAAGCUUCUCCCCCGCCCGGCCCGGCGGGGCCGCAGCCCGCGCAUGCGCGUCAGCAGGGCGCCCAGCGCCCCGCGGCAGGCUCGGCUCCCAGAACCGAGCGUUGCAAACUGUUGCAUCAGACAGCAAGCAGCCGGGCCGGGCCGCCAGGGUUUCUAGGAAGAUAGGAAGGGUUUGAGAUCUUCUGUGGUCGAAUGGGAGCGUUGGCUGUCACUCACGGUGUUUACACGCUGGCAACACGAUCCCCCGAAACCUCAGGCUUGCGCCAGCCGGGGGAGGGCCGCAGCCGCAGGUGACAUUCGCCGGACUCCCCUGCGUCCGCCCCCGCCCCUCGGGCCCCAGGCUGGGACCCACUGAAUUGGAGCCGGUCUGCUUUAUUAACGGCAUGGGCUCUAAAGGAAUGAGCCGGGUUUGAUUUCUCUUCCCAAGUACAAGAAUGCCCCUGAGGAAUUUCUCACUCUGUGAAAGUGCAAAACUAAUUUCCCCAGACAAGCGCUGUUGCCGGUUCCCAAAAGGGCUUGGAAAGAUCCCAGCAGGAAUGUUCAGUGGUUCCAAAGCUCUUCACCCCAGCUGCUGGACAUGCAGACACUGACCACCAAGAACUUCUUGGUGGGUGGACGGACACACGUCCUUCACAGAUAGGUCACAGAUAGGCUUUUUUUUUUUUUAAGAGUAUCUCAGGCCCCGGUGUUAUGGAGAUCUGGGAGAUCAGCCAGAAAAAGCACAACCACGAACUCACACAGACACAGCCCAAAUGUAACAGUUCUCUAGAUUCAAGUGGCUCUGCAGCUCAGGUCACAGAAGUAAUAAAACACCUUCAUAUCCAAGGAUCUCAAAUCACCCCUGGUGGAAAUGCAUAACAAGGUAAAGAACGUCUAUUUAUUUUUAAACAUUGUUUAUUUCUUGGAGGAAAUACUAUUUAAUGGGAAAGAGGUGACUAGUAACAAAUGCGACUCUAAGACUAUUUCUGGUUUUGUCAAUGACUCACUUUGACUUUGGGCAAAUCAUCUCACCACUGUUGCUCUUUAUCUGCAAAAACUGGACUUCAUGCCUAU